rnacentral:tRNA from 1 species
GGGCCCGUAGCUCAGCCCGGAUAGAGCGGCGGCCUUCUAAGCCGUAGGUCGUGGGUUCAAAUCCCAUCGGGCCCGCCA